GCUUUGAUCGUGAAACAACCAGAAUGUUCCAGAAGACACGGCAAAGUAAUUUUGCUUCAUGAUGAUGCACCAUCACACGCUUCAAAACCAGUUAAGACACCAAAACCAGUUUAA